GAUCGGGAUAACAACCUGGAAACAGAUGCUAAUACCGGAUAACAACAGAUGAUGCCUAUCAACUGUUUAAAAGAUGGUUCUGCUAUCACUCUUGGAUGGACCUGCGGUGCAUUAGCUAGUUGGUAGGGUAACGGCCUACCAAGGCGAUGAUGCAUAGCCGAGUUGAGAGACUGAUCGGCCACAUUGGGACUGAGACACGGCCCAAACUCCUACGGGAGGCAGCAGGU
rnacentral:rRNA from 1 species